AUGAGGUUCACCAAUAAGCAUAAUCCUAUUUUGAGACAAGCUGAUAUUUAUUUGGCGAAAAUGGUCUCCAUAAACAAAUUUAUUACAGUUUAUAUGUUUUCAAUUUUCAGCAUGGAUAUUGGAUAUGUAUGCUCUUACAUGGAGAAACAAUUAUAAUACAUCUGCAUUUAUGUCUCUAUUUGUCGAAAGUGAUCGAUUUGGAUUGAGAAUAUGCCAAAUGACGCAUAAUGGAAAACCUGUUGGAGGUGAAAUCUCAAUUGCUCGUGAAUCUGAGAUGGUUGGAAGUAUUCCUAAAACAGCAAUGGAGAAAGCUUUGAUUGAAUAGGAGAAUACCAAGUUUUCGAAGCCAAUAAAAAAAAAUCUCAAACAAGAGGUUGUCACUUCUACUCCCCAUGUUGUCAAGCAUAAGGGAAUGCAUAGCGAAGAUCUUACUAGUAUGAAUAUCGAUAAGACGCAGCUAUUGGAAAGUGUAUUGACAGAAGCAUAUGAAGGUGAUGAAGAUUCACUUCUUGGAGAGUGACAAUUUACAUUCGUUGCAUUUCUGAUGGGUCAAUCGCUUGAAGCAUUUCUACAGUGGAAGCUUUUAAUUGGCCUCUUGUUGGGCUGCACGGAGGCUGUGAGUACAAACAUAUAUGGAUUAGAUUUUUCAGGAUAUACUUAUCCAAUAGAAGGGGAUAAAAUCCAUACUAUCCUCACUGUCAGAAUUGUAUUCUAUUAACUAAGUUUAUGCAAAUGGAUCUGGACAGCAUUGGUACGA